rnacentral:rRNA from 1 species
AGAGUUUGAUCCUGGCUCAGGAUGAACGCUAGCGGCAGGCUUAACACAUGCAAGUCGUGGGGCAGCGCGGGUAGCAAUACUUGGCGGCGACCGGCAAACGGGUGCGGAACACGUACGCAACCUUCCUCAGAGCGGGGAAUAGCCUCUCGAAAGAGAGAUUAAUACCCCAUAGUAUCCCGGGAUCACAUGGUCUUGGGAUUAAAGCUCCGGCACUUUGAGAUGGGCGUGCGGCUGAUUAGGUAGUUGGUAGGGUAACGGCCUACCAAGCCAACGAUCAGUAGCUGAUGUGAGAGCAUGAUCAGCCACACGGGCACUGAGACACGGGCCCGACUCCUACGGGAGGCAGCAGUGAGGAAUAUUGGUCAAUGGAGGCAACUCUGAACCAGCCAUGCCGCGUGAAGGAUGAAGGUCCUCUGGAUUGUAAACUUCUUUUAUAGAAGAAGAAACCCCGGUAUUCUUACCGGGUUGACGGUACUCUAUGAAUAAGCACCGGCUAACUCCGUGCCAGCAGCCGCGGUAAUACGGAGGGUGCAAGCGUUAUCCGGAUUCACUGGGUUUAAAGGGAGCGUAGGUGGGUUGGUAAGUCAGUGGUGAAAUCCCCGAGCUUAACUUGGGAACUGCCAUUGAUACUAUCAAUCUUGAAUACUGUGGAGGUAAGCGGAAUAUAUCAUGUAGCGGUGAAAUGCUUAGAUAUGAUAUAGAACACCGAUAGCGAAGGCAGCUUACUACGCAGUUAUUGACACUGAGGCUCGAAAGCGUGGGGACCAAACAGGAUUAGAUACCCUGGUAGUCCACGCCUUAAACGAUGAGAGCUAGUUGUCAGUAAGCAUGCUUAUUGGUGACGCAGCUAACGCAUUAAGCUCUCCGCCUGGGGAGUACGGCCGCAAGGUUAAAACUCAAAGAAAUUGACGGGGGCCCGCACAAGCGGUGGAGCAUGUGGUUUAAUUCGAAGCAACGCGCAGAACCUUACCCACCUUUGACAUCCCGUGCUAUCUAGAGAGAUCUAGAGUCCCUUCGGGGCGCGGAGACAGGUGCUGCAUGGCUGUCGUCGGCUCGUGUCGUGAGAUGUUGGGUUAAGUCCCGCAACGAGCGCAACCCUCGCUUCUAGUUGCCAGCAUUUAGUUGGGCACUCUAGAGGAACUGCCUGCGCCAAGCAGGAGGAAGGCGGGGAUGACGUCAAGUCCUCAUGGCCCUUACAGGUGGGGCUACACACGUGCUACAAUGGCGGUGACAAAGGGAUAAUCCCUAAAAGCCGUCUCAGUUCGGAUUGUCCUCUGCAACUCGAGGGCAUGAAGUUGGAAUCGCUAGUAAUCGCGGAUCAGCACGCCGCGGUGAAUACGUUCCCGGGCCUUGUACACACCGCCCGUCACACCAUGGGAGUUGGUUCUACCCGAAGGCGUUGCGCCGACCGCAAGGAGGCGGCGACCACGGUAGUGUCAGCGACUGGGGUGAAGUCGUAACAAGGUA